rnacentral:rRNA from 1 species
ACAGUUGGUAGAGACUGUUGAAGCCACCUGGUCCCAGCAGACCCCAGAAGGCAGCCACAAUCAGUGCUGGGACAAGGUCGUUAAAGGUGAAGCCUGGUGCCAGAUGUG